rnacentral:rRNA from 1 species
AGAUUUCGAUCCCGGUCAGGUGCACGCUGGCGGCAUGCUAAACACUGCAGUCGAACGGGAAGUGGUGUUUCCAGUGGCGACGGUGAGUAACGCGAAGAACCUGCCCUUGGGAGGGGAAACAACAACUGGAACGGUUGCUAAGUACCCCGUAUGCCUGAGGAGUCAAAGGAGAAAUCCGCCAAGGAGGGCUCGGGCGUCCUGAUUAGCUAGUUGGGGUGAGGCAAUAUCUUACCAGGGAUGAUCAGUGCUGGUCCGAUAGGAUGAUCAGCCACACUGGACUGAGACAACGGCCCAGACUUCCUACGGGAGGGCAGCCGUGGUGGAAUUUCCGCAAUGGGCGAAAGCCUGACGGGCAAUGCCGCGUGGAGGUGGAAAUGCCUCCUACGGUCGUCAACUUCUUUUCUUCUCGGAGAAGAAACAAUGAACGGUAUCUGAUGAAUAAGCAUCGGCUAACCUCCUGUGCCAGCAGCCCGCGGUAAGACAGAGGAUGCAAGCGUUCUCCGGAAUGAUGGCGUAAAGCGUCUGUAGUGGCUUUUCAAUCCCCGUCAAAUCCCAUGGGCCUCAACCUGGACAGGCGGUGGAAACUACCAAGCUGUAGUACUGUAGGGGCCAGAGGGAAUUUCCGGUGGAGCUUGAAAUUCAUUGAGAUCGAAAGAACACCACUGCGGAAAGCACUCACAAAAAGAAAAAUUAAAAAGAAUGAGGUAAAAAGAACCGACAACUUGACACUGAGAGACGAAAGCUAGGGGAGCAAAUGGAUUGAGACCCCAGUAGUCCUAGCCGUAAACGAUGGAUCUAGGUUCUGUGGGUCGACUCUCCCGUGCAGUGCUGUGUUAACGCGUUAAGUAUCCCGCCUGGGGAGUACGUUUCGCAAGAAUGAAACUCAAAGGAAUUGACUGGUGCCGCACAAGCGGUGGAAGCUUGGUUUAACUUCGAUGCAAAGCGAAGAACCUUAGCAGGGCUUUGACAUGCCGCGAAUCCCUCUUGAAAGAGAGGGGUGCCCUCGGGAACGCGGACAAGUGGUGCAUGGCUUUCGUCAUCUCGUGCCGUAAGGUGUUGGGUUAAGUCUCUCGCAACGAGCGCACUCCUCGUUUUUAUGUUGCCCUAUGAGUUUGGAACCCUGAACAGAAAACCGCCGUGUUAAGCCGGCGGAAGGAGAGGAGAAGGCCCAAUUCAUCAAUGCCCCUUAUGCCCUGGGCGACACACUGCUACAAUGGGCGGGAAAGGGUCGCGAUCUGUAGGGUGAGCUAAUCUCCAAAACAAAAAACCCCGUCCUCAUUUCGGGGAUUUGGCAGGCUGCAACUCGCCUCAUGAAGCGGAAAUCGCUGUAAUCGCGGUCAGCCAUACGGCGGUGAAUCCGUUCCCGGCUUGUACACACGCCCGUCACACCUUAGGAGCUGGCCAUGGUUUGAAGCCUUACCCUUAACCGGUAGGAGGGAUUGCUACGGCGAGGCCUUGCGACUGGAGUGAAGUCCGUAACACUGUAGCCGUACUGGAAGGGCGGCUG